AGAUCGGGAAGACGGACACCAUGUUGGUUUAGCCGUCAGUGGCCCUGUAAACCAGGUGACUGGACGGACACCAUGUUGGGAUUGUGGCAGUGCAUUAAGUUGGUAAAUAUGGCAGCAGUGAUGAGCAGUAUGGGACCCCACACACUACCACCUUGUGACUGUCUACAAGAGACAGUCGGACUUAACGUGAACUGCUUAACACCAUUUACAGCUGUGUUCAGACAAGUUGUACGUUUAUGGAUGCGAAUACAAUUUUGGCCCGACUAAUGCAAGGCAGCAGAGAAGCGAGGCAUCUUCGUUCUUCACGGUAACCGCGGCACUUUCCACAGCGUCAAGCAGCCAGCCAGCCAGCUUCAGGGGUGUUUAUCAAGCUUGGGAAGAGAGCGGAAAUUGUAAGGGGCAGCACCUGCUACGAGGUAGUUGAAAAACCAAGUCCACACAGGCAGUGGCCCCGACUGGGAAUCUGCCGCCAGUCAUUGACGUCGUAGCGAAAGGACAUUAAUAUAAAGUUGGCAAAGAUUGGAGACAAGACUUGUACUACCCAAUGCAGCGUCAUCUUCUGAAGGCGUACAACAUUAUUAAUCGAAAGAUUGACAGUGCUUUCCUGAAAGUCCUGAGCUGUCUAGUAAGGUUUAAAUGACGUUGGUGAUUGAUUUUAGGUUUUAUCAAAUUUAACAUUACUCUUAAGAAUAUCCAUUUGUACAUGUAUAUGUACAGAUGGAUAUUCUAUUUUUGUAAAUAGUGUCAUGAAAAGUAAGUUAUUGUGGAGGAACUCAAAACAUACGUUUGAAGAUGGCAAUGUCUGCCGUCUUAAAACAUCAGGUAUUUGUUUGUACUUUGCUGCAUUACAUAGCAUACUGUAUCCACUUGCAUAGGUGGUAUACACUCUGUUAUUUGCAUCUCUUUCUUUGUGGAGCAUUAUCUGUGCCGAAUGUUGCUUUUCUUGUUUUGUCCUUACUGCCGCCACUUGUUACUUUGUGAUUUUAAUGACCAUUAUUUCCACUUGGGGGGGGGGGGGUCUCGCUGUGAUUCCUGUGUUGUUCAGUUGGGGGCUUUUCUUGCUUCUUACUCUGUCCAUGUUUUAAAAACAGGUACUUGAACCCAUUUUGAUUCUUGUACUCAUACUCUCUCUUGCAUUGAUGUGUUAGUGUGCUGUUGCUGCACUGCACUAGAGUUUGUCCAGUCUGUUCUCUUGGAAUUAGAUGGCAGCGAUCAUUUUUGAAUCAGUUUUACUUGUCCUUCAUAUUAAGCACCUCUCUGUAGGCCACGUUGGCAAUUGAAUGGAGCAAAUUGGGACCUUUACUGACAAGUAAUUGAUUUUAAUGAGGUUACUUGUUUGUUCUCCAUUGAAGAGGUUUUACGCCUCUUGUUGUCCUCAGUUUGAAGUGCCACUCGUCAUUGUAUACCCCAAACCUAAGGCAGGCAUUGUCAGAAGUGCGUGCCUGGGUGGUGUCGUGCUCGUGCACGUGCAGUACAUCCGAAAUUCACUGCGUGGGGCAGGCAUCGGUACGUUAGAAGCGUCGAGAGAAUUUUUGAGUUUAAGCAGGGGUGCGGUCGCUGGCCGUGUCAUUUGCGACGAUAAAUGCACUUGCCGGCGAGAUUACGUCUGCACCAGCGUCUGUGCUUCGUCAAUGAAUGCAGUCUGGAAAAAAUUGGGGAAAUUGAGUGGCAAAUAGUCUACCGACCCGGCUCCCAUUCUCCGGGCUGCCGGUGUCGACGUAGCAAACCCUCUUGACGUUGCCAUUGAAAUUGGCAAUUAUCUGGUCUGUAUUUCUCAGGGGCUCCAUCUAUGGCCCUCAUUUCUUUCUUGAAAGUGCCAUAGAGUUAGCACCCUUGGAUUUUUGUUUUGUCAAAGAAGAAGUGUAUAAUGUGCCUUUUACUGUGUCAUCAUGUGUGGUUGUUUUAGAGUGAGUCUGUCUGUUUGUCUGUGCUUUACAGGCUAUAGAAAAAGUUGAUACACCUCUCCCCGUAGUUGUCUGUAUCCAAAUUUGGUUACACUCUAUCUCUAACAAGUAUAAAUGGAUUGGUUUUUGUUGGGUCCCUGGUCAUGUUGAUGUACUGGGCAAUGAAGAGGUAGACAAUGGUGUGUGGUGAAGAGUACACGACGUUGCAGUUUGAUAUAGAGGUGUUGCGUUCGUCGAUUAUUUUACUGUUAUAGCUACUGACCUUGACACCCGUCGACAAGAACGUUGGCGUGCUCUGCCGAAUAACAAACUGUGUCGUAUUAAACCGAGUAUAGGUUAUUGGCCGUCGUCGUGUCGUAAGUAAAUACGUAAGUUUAUUCAGGCAUACACAAAUACUGUUACAUAGAAUUAUCAUACAUAGCAGCAUAUGUGCAAAGAACCUAGGAUAACCUAAAAAAGUCAGAGUGACUUAUUUCCAUUGGGGUUCUUUUACCUUAUUAUUAUAAUAUAAAGGUUAUAAUAGAUUCUUAUUAUUGUAUAAUGAAGAUAACAUCUUAUUAAUAUACUAGAAGACCAUCUACUACACGAGGGUCAUUAAGACUAUCUACAAUACGAGGGUCAUUACUAGGAAUAAGGUAAAAUUACACUUCUUUCUUUCUUUCAACACACCGGCCAUAUCCCACCGAGGCGGGGUGGCCCAAAAGAAAAAAGGAAAGUUUCUCCUUUUACAUUUAGUAAUAUAUACAGGAGAAGGGGUUACUAGCCACUUGCUCCCGGCAUUUUAGUCGCCUCUUACAACACGCAUGGCUUAUGGAGGAAGAAUUCUGUUCCACUUCCCCAUGGAGGUAAGAGGAAAUAAACAAGAACAAGAAUUAGAAAGAAAAUAGAAGAAAAUCCAAAGGGGUGUGUGUAUAUAUAUGCUUGUACAUGUAUGUGUAGUGUGACCUAAGUGUAAGUAGAAGUAGCAAGACGUACCUGAAAUCUUGCAUGUGAAUGAGACAGAAAAAAAAAGACACCAGCAAUCCUACCAUCGUGUAAAACAAUUACAGGCUUCAUUUUUACACUCACUUGGCAGGACGGUAGUACCUCCCUGGGCGGUUGCUGUCUACCAACCUACUACCUAUAAAAUUACACUUGUAUUAGCUAAAAAUAAAAAAUCAUUCCCCUCCCUUUCUGUAGCUACAUUAAUCAGACACCUUUUGGCACUCUUCUUGAACUGGUUCAUGCUAUGACUGGCUUUGAAAUGUACAGGCAGUCUGUUCCAUUCCUUUAUUGCUGUACAAUAAAAGGUGUUUGAAGCCUGGCCACUGACUGUGGAUACUACAAAGUUGUGCUCUCUCCCCUUAGUACUAUGAUUGCUUUGGUUCCCAACCUUGACAAAAUUGACAGCACGAUAUUUUGGACACUGUUUGUGAGCAAUUUUAUAAACAUGAUUUAGCUUCAGAUUUUUAACUCUGUCUUUAAUAUUCAACAUAUCCAACUGCUGUAAUUCAUUCUGUCCUACAUGCUCUCUUGGAUCCAGGUCUAGGAUGAAUCUUACAAUUUUGUUCUGGGUGAUUUGCAGUCUAUCUUUCAGUUUUUUUGUCAAGGCAGAGUACCAUGAAGAGCAAGUGUAAUCCAUAUGACACUGUAUAAGGGCUAGACAUAGGGUACUGCGAGCCUCAGUAGGUAGAGACUGUGAUUGUCUAUAGAGGAACUUUUUUCUGGCAUUCGCUUUCUUUACUACACUGUUCCUUAUCAAUUCUCCUGACAUGCAUGGGUCGAAGGGGAUUCCCAGAUAUUUUACUGAUGAAAUCAAAUUGAUGGGCUCCUCGUGGACGUUAAAAUUAUUUACGCUUCUCACUUUUUGUUUUGUGCCAAAGAGAAUGGCUUCAGUUUUCCCUAGGUGCAAUGAUAGUUUUUUUUUUACUAACCAUUUGCUGCAGGACUCCAGUUGCAGUGUUAAUACAUUAGCUAUAUCUUGUGGGUCUUUACCUGACAAGAACAGAGCACUGUCAUCUUCAUACAGUAGGAGUUUGCACUUGACACUCAUAGGCAUGAAAUGACACAGCAUAAGAAUAAUAAGGGACCCAGAAUGCUACUUCGGGGAACUCGAAACGCUAUCGGUUCUGUUUCCGUUUUGUUGAUUUUAACAGUUUGUCUGCUGUUGCUAAGGUAGGACUUAAACCAGUGUGCAGAACUUAUACCAAUAGCUUGAAGUUUCUUACAUAAUAUAUUGUGGUUGACAGUAUUGAAGGCCUUUUGCAGGUCUAGGUUUACUGUACCUGUGAGGUUCCCCAUUGACAUUUCAGUUCUCAGGUAAUCCAUCAGAUUAAUUAGGGAGGUGUCGGUUGAGUAAGAUGUUGUGAAGCCCGAUUGUUAGCUACGGAGAAUGUUGUUGUCAUUAAGGUACUUAGCUACUUGACAGUACACCGCCCUCUCUAGAAUUUUGGAUAUUAUACUGAGUAUACUAACAGGCCUAUAGUUGCUUACAUCAGACCUACUAUUUUUCUUGAAGAUAGGAGUAACUCUGGCCUCCUUGAACCCCUCUGGUACGGUAUUAGUGUUGAUUGACAGAUUUAUGAUGUGAGUAAUAGGGAUUGACAGUUCAGAAGCACCAUCUUUUAGGAACUUGUACGGGAUGUUAUCCAGGCCAGUGCAUGACCAGAGAGUUUUAAUCAACGGUUUUAUCUGUCCAAAUCACUCUCAAUUCUAUUUAUUGGGGGUUGUGUCGUGUUGUUGACUCGUGACCUGGUCUGCUGUCUCAGCCAUUUUGAAAAGCACUGAGGGAAGUAAACGCCACGUACAACGUGACUUUUCUUGAGUUUUAUAGGUAGAUUUGGCGUUUUCUGCUAUGAUUCUCUCACUGUACACCGGUCAGCUGAAUAUAGGUCAACUACUAAACUCUGGCUGUUCAGCCAUUCACUCGUUUUCCACGACUGGUCGUCAGUGUCGAGAGUAGUCUCUCUUAUGCGUUUGCAUUGGCCACACUAGUCUUACUGAUGGAUAUCUUACGGAGAGGCGCGUUGCUGCUGUCAACGUUGUGUUUGCUCUGCUGCUCUCUCUUUACCUUGCCUUGUUGGUGAUGGAGCCUCAUUUCAUUUUGACUGUGUCAUUGACUUUUUCACAAGAACUGACUUUGUCCAGAAACUCAUGAUGAUGAUAAUAAUAGCACUUUUCUCAGCCCUUUGUACCUCAAUCUCUUACUAUGCUUUUCCCUUUCAGUAUCCCCUGCCUUGCUGUUUUCUGUAGCUUUGUAAUCGUCCAAUUGUCCUUUUGCCGCCCUAUACUUUCGUUUUCUUCCCUGCCCUGCGGUGCUGUAUAGCCGUUGUGGUUUAGCAUUUUUUUAUUUGAUUAUAAUAAUAAAAAUUUAGAGGCUAAUAUUGUUUCAGUGUGGUCGUGAUGAAGUGUAGCUUGAGCCGUGUUGAUUACAGCGUUGAAGAAUUUAAAGCAUUAAAAAAUGUCAAUAAAUUUUCAUUUUGAAUAAUUGUAUGAAAAUGUUAUAUUUUGUUUGGUGUCAAAGUUAUUUUCAAUAUUUUUGGUUUGUGGAAAGUAUUGUGAGUGUGUAAAUCUGGAAAGUUUGAGUGUUGUCAUUGUAAGUUGUGGAAAUGUUGCAGUAGUUUUUAAUGUAUGUAAAAGGUAAAUGAGGUACAUACAGUGGAACCUUUAGUUUGGAGUGCAUCCUCGUACGAGUCUUUACAGUUACGUGCAGUUGGUCGGUAGAUUUUUUGUCUGUGGAUGUGAGGGAUAUUUUGUGAUGUGAGUGGGUGUCAAAGGAGGUUGUUUGUUUGUCUGAUUUUGGUAUUGAAAGUUUGGUAACGUAACGUACGAUUGAAAAACGUCCGUUGGCGUAUGCCCGAAAUGGAAGAAAAUGGAGCAUAAUUAAGGGAGUUGGCUUGUCAGUCAUUAGCCUCUUGUUACCUCGAGUUUACCCGGAGAGAGUUGUGUGGGUCAACGCCCCUGCGGCCCGGUGUGUGACCAGGCCUCCCGGUGGAUCCGAGCCUGACGAACCAGGCCAUUACCGGUGGUUGCACGCAAUCCAGCGUACGAGCCACAGCCCGGCCGGUCAGGUACCGAUUUUAGGUGCUUGUCCAGUGCCUGCUUGUAGACAGCCAGGGGUUUAUUUGUAAUCCCUCUCAUGUAUGCUGGGAGGCAGUUGAAAAGUCUUGGGCCCCUGACACUUUUUGUAUUGUGUCUUAAUGUACUAGUGACACCCCUGCUUUUCAUUGGGGGGAUGUCGCAUCGUCUGCCGAGUCUUUCGCUUUCGUCGCGAGUGAUUUUCACGUGUAAGUUUGGUACUGGUCCCUCUAGGAUUUUGCAGGCGUAUAUAACGAUGCAUCUCUCCCGCCUGUGUUCCAGGGAAUACACACGUUCAGGAACUUGAAGCACUCCCAGUAAUUGAGGCGUUUUAUCUCUGUUAUGUGUGCCGUGGAGGAUCUGUUUACGUUUUGUAGGUCAGCAAUUUGACCCACCUUGAAAGCACCGGUGCUGUUUGUUAGUGUGCAGCAAUAUUCCUGCCUAGAUAGGACAAGUGAUGUGAAGAGUGUCAUCGUGGGCUUGGCAUCUCUAGUUUUGAAGGUUGUCAUUAUCCAUCGUGUCAUUUUUGUAGCAGAUGCGAUUGAUACAGCGUUACGGUCCUCGAAGGCGAGAUCGUCCGACACGAUCACUCCCGGGUCUUUGACGUUGGUUUUUCACUCUAUUUUGUGGAAGGAAUUUGUUUUGUACUCUGAUGUACUUUUAAUUUCCUCCUGUUUAACAAAUUGGAGUAAUUGAAAAAUGUCAUCAUUGAACUUGAUAUUGUUUUUUGCAGCCCACUGAAAGGUUUGGUCGAUGUCCGCCUGGAGUCUUGCAGUGUAUGCAAAGGAAGACACUGUCGUGCAGAUUUAGGUGUCAUGUGCAAAGGAAGACAUGGUGCUGUGGCUUACAUCCCUGUCUAUGUCAGAUACGACAACGGGAGCGAGUACUGUGGCUUGCGGAACAGUGCUUUUUGCCGUUACUGCCUCAACUCUACUCCGUUGACUAGUAUUCUCUGUGUUAUGUCUGUAGAUCCAUCUACGCACUUUUCGCGUUAUUCCUUUUGCACGCAUUUUGUGCAGUACAUAUUACGCCACGGUCACGCUCGUCGAAGGCUUUUGCAAAGUCUGCAUAUAUUACAUGUGCAAUAUUUUUGUCUUGUAGUAAAUUUAGGAGCUUGUUGUAGUGAACCAGUAGCUGAGACAGACAGGAGCAAACUGCUUCUGUAAACCCACGUUGCCCUGGGUUUUGUAAGUGAUGGGUGGCGAUGUUGCUUUUUAGGACCCUUUGAAAGAUUUGUAUGAUAUGGGAUGUUAGUGGUAUGGGUUUAUAGUUGUUUGCUGCCCCCUUUGUGGAGUGGGGCUAUGUCUGUUGUUUUUAGUAACUGUGGGAUGACCCCCGUGUCCAUGCUCCCUCUCCAUAGGGUGGUAAAAUCUCACGACGGGUGCUUCUUGCAGUUGUCGACGAAGAUGGAGUUGCACGAGUUUGGCCCUGGAGCAGAGUACAUGGGCAUGUCGUUUAUUGCCUGCUUGAAGUCAUUUGGCAUUAGGAUAAUUUCAAAUAGAUAGGUUUGUGUUAAGCCAAUUUUUUGGCUCAUAAAAAAUCAUUUUGAUCUUGGACUCUGAGUCUGGUUAUUGGCUCGCUAAAAAGUGACUAGUCAUAUUGGGACUCGAGUAGCCGAGUCAUUUCAUCGCUGUCGUCUGUGUAGGACUGGUCUCGGUUAAGUAUGGGCCCAGUAAUGGACGUUGCUGUCGACUUUGAUUUGGCAUAAGGAAAGAGAUAGUUUGGGUUUCUUUCGAUUUCACGGACGUCUUUUAGUUGUCGCUGUGAUUCCUGACUCGUAUAAGAUUUGUUUUGCUUAAGUUGGACGUUUGCUAUUUGUCUGACAAGUGACUCCCAACGCAUUUCAGAUACAUUGGCCUCUCUUAGCCGUUACGUUAUUCUUUUUUGUCGCCUGCAAAGGGAGUGCCUGUCUCUCUGUAUUUUACAGGUACUCCUCCUUUUUGUUAAAGGAAUAAGCGUCGAGCAUACAUGGAGUGGCUCCUAGUUAAUCUGUCGUAGGCAUAAGUUUGGGUCUGUGUUGCUUAGCUUAUUUUACCAGCUUAUAUUGUUUAGGACUUGAUUUAUUUUAGUCCCAGUUUAUGUUGUUGUUAUUGAAGUUGAAUUUGGUGAAGGCUCCCUCGUGACUAAUGUCAUUUUGUCGGUCUGGGGCUCGAUUGUAUUGCGAUGCGAGUAUAUUGUUUUUGAUACGUUGACAUUUUGUAUCAGAUGAUAAUUUUUAGUGAAGAUGAGGUUUAAUGUAUUGUCCAGAGAUUUAAGAGGUCGUGUGUGUGUGAGUUGUUGUCAGAGGUUCCUCUUGUUGUUAUCACUGCAACAACAUUAUUUGCUAUAUUGCUCUAUUUUAGGUGCCUCAAGUUGAAAUCCCGCAGGAAGAAGAAGUUUGGGGCCGGAGGUGGCAAAAUUUGCAGAUAGUGGUCAAAUUCAGACAGCUAGCUGUUUUUGGAAUUGCUGGGACGUUGCAUCUGGAGGCUUGUAGGCUACCACAAUGACUAGUUUUGUUUUUUGAUAUUUACUGUUAAAAGUUACACUACUACAUCAUUUGAGGCAUUAAGCAGUUGUGUGCAACCAUGUGACUGUGCAAUAUACAGGCGAAUUCCCCCCUCUUUCCCCCCCCACAUACCUUUUGCCUGUUGACUCUGUUAAAUCUGUAUAGGUUGUAAACUGGGAUCCAUAUUUUGUUGUCGAAGUGGUCCUUUAUGUGGGUCUCUGUCUGUGAAAGGUACGAACAUUGCAGUCCACGGAGGAAAGGUAUUUUGUUUUUAUUGUAUGUUUGUUUGCAAAGAAGAUUGUCAUUGGACUGGUGGUAUUGGUGUUACUGGGGGGGGGGGGGAUUUUUUUUUCUGGCACUAAUAUCUGUAACUGUUGGUUUGGAGUGGAGGCCAUCGACUGUGGUUCUAUUUGAGAAAUGACUGGAUUUGGCAGACGAUUUCUGCCAUUUCCUGCCAAUUUUUUUUCUUUCCUGGCACUAAAAAUCUGUCCCUCUUGAGUGGUUGUGGGUACCCAUGUUUUUGCAUGGCCUGGAUGUUUUGUAUGUAUGUAUGUAUGUUUUUGUCCCAUUUAGAUUUUGUGGCUGGUAGUUUGAGUUAUAGCAUAGUCUUUCCUGUACUGAAGAGGUACAUGUUUUGUGGUGAAAAAUGUUGGAGGAAGAGUUUGAAUUUUCCCGUCGUCACACGGGCACGGCAUUUUGUAGGGCGGUCACAGUUGCACGUCGCAUCUGUUUUUGCAGAUUUGACACGCCUGUGGAUACCAAGUGCAGAGGCUCAGUUUCCGUUUGUGUUGGGUUUCUGCGAGUGUAUUCUCUGUCGGUGCAUGCUUUGCUGUCUCAUUGAUAUCAUCACUAGUACUAACAAUAGAGCUGUCAAGAGUUGUUUGUGGUUAUAUAUCCUUACUAUUGCUAGUGGAGUCCCCUUGUUUACUAUCUUAUGUGGUAUUAGUAAUAUUGGUUUUAUCUUGUACUUGAGUACAUUUGUUUCCCCAGUAGAGCUGCUGUCUGUGUCGAGGUCAUUAAUGUGCAGUCUCUCGUACGUACAUUUACCGACUAUCUGGACAUCACGUCCGGCCUCACAUCUUCCGAGUACCCGACCAGCAGCAAGGGCGAUACCAUCGUAUCCAGAGUUUUUGUUUUGCUGUCUGUUAUAGAAUGCUUGUAGUUUUUCUAUGAAGGCUGCUUUGAUGUUGUCCUGUUUUAAUACCAAUGUGAUUUUAAUCCACAGAUUGAUGUCAUUUGGGCAUAACCAAAAACACGUUGGUAAUUUAAUACAGUGGACCCCCGCAUAACGAUAUUAUUUCAAUCCAGAAGUCUGUUUGGGUGCCGUUAUAGACCGAAUUUGUUCCCAUAAGAAAUAUUGUGAAUUAGAUUAGUCCAUUUCAGACCCCUAAAAAUACACCUACAAAAGCACUAAGAAAAAUAAACUUAGAUAAUUAGUCGAGUUGGGAGGCGAUCGUUAUCCGGGGGUCCACCGUACUGCUUGUAGAUAGUUGUUGGAUAUCUGCACAAGGUGUGUGACAACAAUUUUAGGUUGAUAAUGUGAUUUGAAUGUUUGAUUUAGUAUAACUGUAAUAGUAACCCUUUGGAUAUUGUAGUAAUAAUAUCCUUAAAUUGAAGAUUUGGCCAAUUGUAUUUACAUUUCAAACCGUACUUGUAUAUUAGGGCAGCUUAUCGGUGUAUGUUUGUGCUUUACAUGUAUUAUUUAUUUUUGAUAAGGGUGUCUAAAACCCCGUGUGUUUACAGUCUGCUUUAUUGUCCAAGGAAUCCGUGCGAAAGCGGUCGAGGGUUCGGAAGCAGUCGGAUCUGACGAGCGUGGUCGUCGGUGGUUUGGGGGAAGACACGAAGGAACUAGUGGAAAUUAUUUAAGCGAGUAAUAUGCGAUUAGAUCGAUACGAAAGUAUAAGUUGCGUGUUGAAGAACCGGAGUUUGGCGGCAGCUGCUACGACGACGGAGGGUCGAGACCCUCAUUUACAGUCCAAAGAAUUAUCGAUUGCUGUAUCUAGCUUUCCUAGCUUUUUUCUGUCUCCACCACAAGAAAUGCUAUAUUAUCAAUAUACUUUAUGUGUGAAAUUGUUGGAGGAAAUAUGCUUGUUGUGGAGUAAUAUUGGCUUUUCAUUGUGUAUAUUGCGACCUCUGGUAACUAGAGGUUUUAUGAAUUUGAUUGUAUACAUUUGGUAUUUGAAGAAUGGAGAAAAAAGUCUGUUGACUCAGUAUGAUUAUAUUACUGGUUAGUUGCUACUACAAUAACAGUGUAUUGUCCUAUUGAUUGGUAUCACUAUAGUUGUAUAUUUUGGUAUGGUUUUUAUGAUUGUAUUGUAUUGUCGUUUUUUGGGUCUUAAAGAUAUAUUAAAGAAAUUUUAUAUGAUUUUCUUUUUGAUGAUGGUGAAAAGUCAUUUGAAAUUGAGGUUAAAGUGGCAGAAAUGUUUGAUUGGUGGGUGAUGUUUGUUUGGGAAUAAACAAAUUUAGUUAUUGUCGAGUGUCCGUACGGUUGGCAGUGCACUCGAAUGUCGACACAUUGGGAAGUUGUCGAAGACGGCAGUAGGAAAAGUGGGCGUAGACACGACGAGGUCGGGGUGGCAGACGUUGCGUAUAAGAGAGUGCGCGAUUUCCGCCACGCGAUGGCAGUCUAGUCACGUAACUGAACGGGAAUGUAAUUGUGUUGUUGCUUUCCUCGAUGUCCCUGUCCACCGCUCAGAUACAGGUUUUUCCUUUUUCGUGUAGUGCAGACCUCUGCACAGUGGCAUGUACAUUCACAACUUUUCAUAUCAUGUCAAGAAAAGUUUUGUUAUCUACGUCUUUCUCUGUGCCCUCUGCAUGUGUGAUACUCAGUUUGUUGCAGCUGAAAUUUGUAGUCUUUAUAAUUUUUUUUUUAGCCACCCUUCUCAUUUCAAUGACUCUGCUCUCUGACGUGCUAAACGUAAUUGUUUAUCUCCCAAAUCGAUAGUCGUGGGAACUCUCGUGUCGUCUACCUUCCUUACAUUUCAGGUCUUUCAAAUAAUCUCAACAAUUGUCUCCGUCCCUUAGACACGAAGCUUACUUUCCAUCAGAUCGACAAAGAAACACUGCGCGUACUAAUCUCACCGAUACGUUUUCUCCGCAUACGGACGUUCGCGGCGUCUACUGUAUUUGUCGGUCCUCUCGAAUACUUUGGGGAAACUGGUCGAUGUGUUUCUGACAGAAUUGUGGAGCACAAAAAUAGUUUUAGGCUUGCCCACACUACUAAUGCUCUUUUGUGUCUCGUCAGAGAUGACAGCCAUGCUAUCGAUUGGUCUUGUGCUAAAACUGUCUUACCUACUUGCAAAUUUAAUUAACAGUUGUUGUGUUGUUGAAUUAUCCUAAUAAAAAAGUUGUAUGAAUUUGAGUUGUGGGUUUGUGUAGAUGCAUUCCUCUUUCACCACAUUGGAAAAAUGAUGCAAACUUGACAAGAUGUGCGACUUGAUCUGAUUACUCCUUUUUCUUUUUCUCCCUCUUACCCUUUUGUCUUUGGAUUUUUGUUUUGUCUUGUGGGUUGUCUUUGUUUGUUUUUUCUUUUGUUUCUAUUAGUUAUUUAUUGAUUUCAUUACCUUCCCUCUCCCUCCUUACCUGUGUGUUGUUGGUCUGCUUGUGUGGGCACCUAGGUCCCUUGCAGUGCUUGACCUUUUUUUUUUAUUCGAUUGGCUUCUACUCCUCGUCCUCCUCCUUGUAUUCCUUAAUUUCACACUACCCCUACCUCUUGCUGCCUAUAUAUACCUGUCAUUCUCCACUUAUCAUUAGUGUGAUUUUGUAAAUGGUCCAAGUUAGAGUGAAACAUUGUAGUAAGCUGGUAUCUGUUAUGUGCGGGUUAUUUUGUAACAGUCUAGCGCACGAGCGGUGGAGUGAAUCAAGUAACGAUCGUGUCUCAUUUACGUGUCAAGUAAGCGUAAAGGACAGUACCGAGAAGAACGAGAGGAUCAAUUACGUACACGGAGUUAAAGCUGGAGGAAAUAACGGAUAAAUAAAGUAGGUGGAGGACGAAGAAAGAUUUGGUUAGGGUGUCAUUAAGAGUGUAGGAAUUAUAAGUCGAAUUGUGUGAUUUGUUGUGGUCAUUAGAGUUUUUGUGUACGCGUGUAGGGGUGGGUGGUGCGGCGGUCCCAGGAAGGUCAAUACGAAAAGUGGUCGUUAUCGUCGUACGUAGCGUUUUGACGUUAUUGAUUUAGUCCUAUUAGAUGAAUUAUUGUAGAUAAAUAAAGUGUAGAGUUGAAAGUAGGCAAAUUGUCAAAGUAAUUUGUUGUGCAUGGAAUUUCAUUUGAAUGAAUUAAUGAAUUGCAUUUCAAUGAAUAGAAAUGAGGAAAAAUGAGUGAGCAGCCAUUUUUUUUAUGAAACAAUUAGUAUCAUUUGUUGUAAAAGUUAAUAUUUUUAUUAUGUAAAGUUUGGAAAGUUGAUUGAUUAAAUUUAUUGUUGUUGGACUGAAUUAUGUGUAAAGAUUCAACUUUGAAUUUGUGUCAGUUUGUUUUAAUGAGGCAUGUUUGUGUUUUGUUAAAAUUGUUAUGUACUGAGAAUUUGUAAUAUUGGAUAUUACAGGCAAGGUGUGUUACAAAGUUGUAGUAUUUUACAUUGUAAUAUGUGGUUAAGAAUUUGCAAAGAGGCGUAUUAUUUACAAAGGAGGACUCGGGUCGCGAUAACCGGGUCUGUACCAGAGUCCACAGUACCACAGAGCUAGACCUGCGAUAAGUACGUGUGCUUAGCCAGUGCGUUUUGUUGUCCACUGUAUGUGGCAGGAUUUGAUGAAGUAAUUUUGCAAAGGAGCUUGGUAUUUGGGGUUAUGGGUAAACAUUUGUUAGGUUGUGUUAAGUGCACAUACAUACUUACUGUGGGUCUAGGUCAGUUGUAAUGUAGUGUGGAGUCUGUCACAGUUUGUUAGCACCACUUUUUUCGUCCUUUGGAUGUACAGACAACGUUUGUAAGAUUUGCUCGAGAAAUUUGGACGAUCUAGUCGAAUUGACGUCGUUCACUUGGAAGGUGACGUAAGGCUACAUAAUUUGUCGAUGAUAUUUGUAUAUAAACAAACAUGGUAUUUUGUGCAAGUGUGAAUAGUAAGAAUUGAAAUUGUUGCGUAAAUAUUUUGUAAUGUUGCAAGUAAAUGUCACGCGUCAUUUUGAUUUGAAUACGUUGAAAAUAAUGGGCGGGCACGUAUGUACUUUUGAUGCAAGACAAAGAAUUUGCAAUGUGGACUUUGUGCAAGAGAGGUAUAAAAUAUCGACAAUAUGAAAGUUAAGACACACGUGCAACAUCUGGAUAUCUUUAUUGUAGACGUUUCGCCAUCCAGUGGCUUUAUCAAUACAGAUUCUAGGACAUAAUAGGAAGACAGUAGAAGUAUAUACAAAAGAUGAGGUAAUCAGUCCCUCGGCCUUGGAGUUAGUGUUGACAGCAUCAUGGUGGAGGAGAAUCUGGAGCAAAGGCAAGAAGAGUGGUGGUUAUAUAGGCGUUAGUGGAUAGGGACGGGCAGCAGAAGAGGGCAUAGACACUGGUAGGCGGGAUUCCCCAGUGGAAGUAGGUCCUUCCCAAAGAGAUGGGUUAGUUGCAGCAAGAUUUCAUGAUGCUGUGAACAGUUACUCCAAGGCUGAGGGACUGAUUACCUCAUCUUUUUUAUAUAGUUGUACUGU